rnacentral:lncRNA from 1 species
UCAAAGAACAACGUAAUAGAAGCUGUCUGUAAAGGCAGCGAAUUCUAACUUGUGAUAGCAGGGAAACUUAGAGCCCACUGUGCUGAGUGACGAAUCAAGCUACAGAGACAGAUAUCAUAUAAUCUCCUAGCUACAAAAAUAGCUGGCAGGACUGGCAAGACGUGUGCACCAGGAGCUUGAGGGAGGUGGUGAAAUGUGAGGAGUCCUUUGUCGGUGAUACAAGUCACAAGGAGUAUGGCUGUGUGUUCUGUCCCAGGCUAACCAUGGUCAGCAGUGAUGGAAAUGAGAGGAUAGUAAAUGUUCUCACCACAAAGAAACGAUAGUUCCAGGUGGUAGAUGUUAUUACUUUGUUCAUUCUAUAUGUGCAUGUAUUUAAACACCUUUUGUUGUUGAUCCCAGACAGGGUCUAACUAUAUAGCUCCGACUGUCCUGGAACUAUGCAGACCAAGUGUUUCCAUUAAAGGGUUGCUGACUAGAAGAAGGCAUCAGGUUCCUUGGAGUCACCAACUGUGAGCCACCUGUGGGUCCUGGCAAUCAAACCUGAGUCCUCUGCAAGAGCAGCUGGUGCUCCUGGCUGCUGAGCCACCUCCACAGCCCCUGUGAUACUCAUUUUGAACCUCAUAAAUAUAUACUAUUACUGGCCAAUUAGAAAAUUAAAUAGAGCCGGGCGGUGGUGGUGCACACCUUUAACCCCAGCACUUGGGAGGCAGAGGCAGGCG